GAUGAACGCUAGCGGCAGGCUUAACACAUGCAAGUCGAGGGGCAGCACGGGUAGCAAUACCUGGUGGCGACCGGCGCAAGGGUGCGUAACGCGUGAGCAACAUGCCCUAUACAGGGGGAUAAUCCAGGGAAACUUGGUCUAAUAUCCCAUAGCAUUUAGAGGAGGCAUCUUCACUAAAUUAAAGCUUCGGUGGUAUAGGAUUGGCUCGCGUGACAUUAGCUAGAUGGUGAGGUAACGGCCCACCAUGGCUAUGAUGUCUAGGGGUUCUGAGAGGAAGACCCCCCACACUGGGACUGAGACACGGCCCAGACUCCUACGGGAGGCAGCAGUGAGGAAUAUUGGACAAUGGAUGGAAAUCUGAUCCAGCCAUGCCGCGUGCAGGAAGACGGCCCUAUGGGUUGUAAACUGCUUUUAAUGGGAGCAAUAAGGUUUACGAGUAGACCGAUGAGAGUACCAUAUGAAUAAGCAUCGGCU
rnacentral:rRNA from 1 species